rnacentral:rRNA from 1 species
GCCCAACAGCUAGCCCUCCCCACAAAACACAACAACCCCACUAUAAAUAACCCCUAAGUACCCCAGUAUUUAAAUUAACAAACCAUUUUCCCCCCUCAGUAUAGGAGAUAGAAAAGGGACCAAGGCGCAAUAGAGAAAGUACCGCAAGGGAAUGCUGAAAGAGAAAUGAAACAACCCAGUAAAGCCCAAAGAAGCAGAGCCUCAACCUCGUACCUUUUGCAUCAUGAUUUAGUAAGUGUACCCCAAGCAAAGAGAACUUUAGUUUGACACCCCGAAACUUCGUGAGCUACUCCAAGACAGCCUAAUUAAUAGGGCUUACCCGUCUCUGUUGCAAAAGAGUGGGGAGAACUUUGAGUAGAGGUGACAAACCUACCGAACCUAGUUAUAGCUGGUUGCCCAAUAAAUGAAUAGAAGUUCAGCCUCUCGGCUUCUCUUUUCCCCCACAGUUUUUAACCCCUGUCGAUUCAUCAAAGAAACCAAGAGAGUUAGUCAAAGGGGGUACAGCCCCUUUGAAUCAAGACACAACUUUACCAGGCGGGU